ACGGUUCCACUCUCUCCCUCGUUUUCCGCGCUUUCCUUCCUCCCCACAAGUUUCUGAUUCCUGGAACCAGGCUCGGUGACCUCACGUCAGUGACUUCACAUCCGGGACCUUCUGGGAAUUCUCAGCGGCACUUUUUCACCUUGGGCCUGCCUGGGGCUUCCCUGAGAGGAAGUCCUGAAGCCUGAGGAGCUCCACACCUGUAUUUUUAAAAAUGGGAGCUCCAGGCCACCUACUCCUGAAAGCCUUUCUGAAUGAUGCCGGACUGGGGACUGGAGGCCCCUGAGGGCAGGCCUGGGCCCUCUUCUCUGCUCCUGGCCUGGACACUUCUGAGGAGAGAGAGAGAGCAUGAGCCGGGUGAGGGCCAGAAGGAGAGGGAGACAAGCAGACUCCCCGCUCAGUGCUCAACCCUAGGACCCUGAGAUCAUGACCUAAGCCGAAGGCAGACACUUAACGGACUGAGCCACCCAGGCGCCCCUAUCAGAGUAUCUUUGGUGGAGACAUUGCACAGCUCUCUCUUUCAGCUCCCUCAAACCAUCUUGGGAAUGAGGCUGGGAAUAAAUAAAUACACGGAGGUUGAAUGGCUAUACUGAUUCAACGUCAAAAGGCAGAAGGACCUUGGGGGAGGGGUGGUGGUUUCCAGGGAUGCUAAUGCCUCCUUCUGGAGCCCACUGCUCCUCAGGUUUAAGGGUGCCUUCCCCAGUCAGCCCCUCCCUCCACGUGGGGCUCCACCAAAGCUGGGGGUUGGUCAGACGUUCACAGUCUCCCUGCAGAGCCGGCACGCUAUGGCAGAGCUCAGAGUCAGUAGCUGGAGGCCCACUCGGUGGAAGCUUCAGGAGAGACAGGGUCCAGGAAGGAUUACGGGCCAGACUGCCUGAGUGUAAAUCCUACCUGUGACACUCACUAGCUGUGUGACCUUGAAGAUCCUUACCCCUUUUAUCCUCAGUUUCCUCAUCUGUAAGAUGGGGAUAGUAAUUGUGCAUACCUCAAAGGGCUGCUGUGAAGAGUAUACAGAUCUCUCUCUCUCUCUCUCUCUCUCUCUCUCACACACACACACACACACACACACACACACACACACACACAAAUGGUGCAUUCGGAGCAGGGUCUGGCACACUAUAAGCUCAAUAAAUGAGUAAGGUCAUUAAGUUUUCCUGGAUCCCUGCCACCCCCAGGUUCUCCAGGUUCCAGAUCCCAGUGUGUCCUCUUGGUCUGAAGACAAGUGUCCUUCAAGGCUCUGGCUGGCAGUCCUGGCUUCCCUCUAGCUGGGAAGCAGACACUGGUGCCAAGGGCCAGCUCUGAGCGAGCCAGGCUGGGUCUGUUCCAGGCCUGCGGGGACAGGUCUGCUCAGCCUCUUGAUAAAACCAUCUGACCCAGAACAGGGAUUUUCUGCUCUGGGGGGGCUCUGAGGGUGGGCACAGUGGGGGAGAGUCUCUACCCUCCUGCCAGAGGAGCGCGGCUACCACCUGAGAGGCGGUAGAACGUGCUUUUGAAAGCACGGGGUCCGGUGUCAGACUGCUGGGAUCAGAUCGCCAGCCUGUCGCUUCCUAUUUAUAUGCCCUCUGAGCGUCUUUCAGGUCUCUGCACCCUAGAGUCCUAGCUCGGGAUCUUCCAAGCAUCAGCACCCCCAUCCUGCUCCCAGUGGAACAUCUGGGAGCAAGUGACUUCACUGGGAGGGGAGGAAUGUGGUGAGGGAGUAAAGUGAGUUGGGGGCAGGAGGACAGGAGGUUACUAGUGUGGACAGCUGGGGCUUGAUCCCAUGGGGAGCCUCUGAGAGCUAGGGUAGAACGUGUGUCACCAGGGCAAGGAAGCUGGGGGGGUUCACCCACCAUCGUCACCCCCGACCUGGACGGAAGCACCGGCUCUCCUAUCCUUCCAGCCUGCCCCACAGACAGAGAGAUACAAGGGUUUAAGGUGGGAAUCUGUGAGUCUGUAAGGGACUGUCCCCUGAAGUGGAGUGGGGGGGGCAGGGGCCAGUAUGUGUGUGCCCAUUUUACAGGUCAGGAAAUGAAGGCUCAAAGAAGUUAGGUCAACAUAUGAGUGAUGGGCUCAGCAAGGACUAGAACUCAGGCUUCCUGCCCCGAUCAGGGUGGUCUGGCCCCUGGGGAUGCUUUGUGAGGAGGGAUGUGGUGGGGAUGAGACAGACCUGGGUCUCACUAAGGACGUGGCUGUCACCUGACAGAACAGCAGGAAGCCUGGAGGCGACUGCCUCUUAAUCCUUGGGCUUGGAGAACUGCUGUCAGUCCUGCACACAUUCCAGGGACCCCAGAGCGCUUGUGGCCGGGAGGGGUGCAGUUGGCAGCUUCCUGGGACAGGGGCCCUGCCCUUUGACCCUGUUAGCAUCCUGCUGGCGAAUUUCCCCUCCUCCCUUUCUUCCCCAGUACAAAUUACGCCCUGCUGGGAGCCAGAUCCUAGCUGUGGAGCCUGUCGUGGGAGCCCACAGUUCAGUAGGAAAGGGACCUGGUGAGGACAGAUGUACCAGCUUGGCGUUGAGGGGCCCAGGGAGGGAGAAGCACACUCCAAGUGGGGGCCCCUGGGGUGGUUUCAUGAAGGAUGUAGCCUUUGAGCUGAGUCCCCCAAAUGAGGAGGCUCUUGAGGAGAGGAGAUGGUGGGUAUUAAGAGCUGAAUUGUGUCCCUCUCAAAUUCAUAUGCCGAAGCCUUAACUCCCAGACCUCAGAAUGUAACUGUGUUUGGAGAGAGGGCCUUUAAAGAAGCAAUUAAGGUAAAAUGAGGCCAAGAGGGUAGGUUCUUAAUCCAAUAGGACUGAUGUGCUUUAUAAGAAGAGAAAGGCACCAGGGAUGUGUGCUCACAGAGGAAA